UCUUUGCUAGUAUAUCGGUUAGUACACGCGCCUGUCAUUCUAAUUAUCUAAAGACAUUGAUCGCGCGAAAGCUGGGUUCGACUCCCAGGCAGAGAG